rnacentral:rRNA from 1 species
UUUAAAUGUAAAUUUUAGAACUAAAUUAGUAAUAGAUAUGAUCUUCAAAUUUAAAGAUUUUGGCGGUAUUUUAGUCUAUUCAGAGGAACCUGUUCUGUAAUUGAUAAUCCACGAUUAACUUUACUUAAUUUUAAAAAUUUGUAUAUCGUUGUUUAUAGAAAAUUUUAUAAGAAGAAUAAUUUUUAAUAAAUUUUAUUAAAUUGUAAAUCAAAUCAAGGUGCAGUUUAUAGUUAAGUUAGAAAUGGGUUACAAUAAAUUUAUUUAUUAAUGGAUAUAAAUUUUAAAAUUUUUAUUGAAGGUGGAUUUGAUAGUAAUAUUUUUAAAUUAAAUAAUAUGAUUUUAGCUCUAAAAUAUGU